CACCGCGGUUAUACGAGAGGCCCAAGUUGACAGAUAUCGGCGUAAAGCGUGGUUAAGGUAAACUAAAACUAAAGCCGAACACCUUCAGGGCAGUUAUACGCAUCCGAAGGCACGAAGCCCCACCACGAAAGUGGCUUUACAACUCCUGACUCCACGAAAGCUAUGUCA
rnacentral:rRNA from 1 species